rnacentral:rRNA from 1 species
UACAGCGGGAGGCCACCCGGCGACGGGGCGGCAGAACCCGAAAACCUGUCUCAGUUCGGAUUGGAGUCUGCAACCCGACUCCAUGAAGCUGGAUUCGCUAGUAAUCGCGCAUCAGCCACGGCGCGGUGAAUACGUUCCCGGGUCUUGUACACACCGCCCGUCACACCAUGGGAGUCGGAUAUGCCCGAAGUCAGUGACCCAACCAUAUGGAGGGAGCUGCCGAAGGUGGAGCCGAUAACUGGGGUGAAGUCGUAACAAGGUAUC